rnacentral:lncRNA from 1 species
GAACUUUCAGAAUAGCAAUUGAAAUGUAUAUAAAGAAAAUAUCUAAUAAAAAAUAAAUAAAUAAAAAUUUAAAAAGUUCUAAUGGGGAACUGAUUAAAGUCUAGCAAAUGGAAAAAAUGCAAUGAAAUAGUUGACCAUGCCCAAACUGGCACUGCCUUUACAAUGGGUUAGGGAAUAUUCAUGCAAAGUGUUUCUUGAGUUUCUUAUUUGUACGAUUCUCCAAAUAACAAGAAGCCUUUCUCAAAAUCAACUGACAUAGAGUGGGAAUCUUUUAAAAAUUAGUCAAUGAUGAAAGUACAUAGUAAAAAUAUCCAUGUAAACUGAUUUUAAGGGGACAAAGAGCAAAACCAUAAAAGAAGGAAAAAGCCAACAUCAAGGUAAGACUUAGGAAUCCUGAAUGAUAGAUGGCUCCCAAGAUAGAAUUAGAAAGGGAAAAGACUGAUGUUAUGACCCAAAAAGAGAAUAUUCUUGGAUGAGACAACAGUUUGACAUUUGAGCUGAAUGGGCUAUGCUUGAGGGUAGCACUGUGUUAAUAAUGAAAGUUAGCCAUAGCAGCACAAACCUGAGAAAAUAGACUGCACAAAUUAGGGUCAUCAGAAAACAUAUAACAUACAAAAGAACCUUGAUAUACUUAUAACAAUGAGAGAAGAGAUUCACUCAGGCCAGAGCUACUUAUGACAGAAAAGCAAGAGAGACACAUGAAAGAAUGAGAGCAGACAUAAACACUUAGAGGAAUAAAGAAUGUUCAUAAAGCCUAGGAUUUAAGAAGCCAUUGAAAACAGUGCCAGAAAUAGUGGGUGAUGCCAUAGAUUGGUGUCAAGAAAAUGAAUCAUAAAAUCCUCAUGGAGCUAAAGAUAUGAAGGACUGAGACUACUCUUUCUCAGGGUAUAUCUAGGAAGCAAAGGAUAUAUGUAGAACUAUAAAGUAGAUGGACCUAUGGUAAGGAAAAGGUUUAUGGGGAUUUUUUAAUGGAAAUGUUUUAUCAUCUGUGUUUAUUGCAAAUGUGCCAGUAGAAGGGGAAUCAUAUAUAAGACGUUAUCCUAACUGAGUGAUAGUGUAUUCACUUUCCAAAGCCCUACUUUACUAUGACCAUCAUACAUGAUAAAUUGAUCAUCAUUUUACUGUUUUUUACUAUUAGAAGUAAAUAUCUCACUUAGAUAAAUGGCAUAACCAUCACAUAAAUUGUGAUUAAAAUAUCAUGGUUGCUCUUAACAUACAAACAUUGAUUACUUUUUUUAAAGUGGGGGAGGGGAGGAAAAUAGAUAAGGUUGAUGUUAAAACCAAAAUUAUAUUCACCUUGGCAAGGUUCUUCACAGGAAAAACAAAUAUUGAAAUUUACUUAUUCUCUCAGUAUGUAUAAAGCAACCUGUGUUUGGAUGGUGAAGAUUUAUAUUUGUCAAUAAAUAUUUUCGGAAUGUAAAAACUAUAUAAUAUUCUAAGAAAUCAUGAAAAGAAGAUAAUCCUAACAAAUUUACUGUUUCCAAUAUUUCUGUAAAAUAUACUAUGCUAUACAUAAACAUUAGUUUUCACCAUGCGACUUAAAUAAAAGAGAAGCAUAUUUAAGCAACAGGAUGGCUAGGUACAUAACUUCUACACCCAGCAUUUGAGAGGCUAAGACAGAAGGACUCUGAAUUCAAGGUAGCUAUUUUUUUAAUGUAGUAUCAAGUCAGCCUAGGCUAGGUAGUGAGAUAUUUCAUAAAUAAAUAAAUAAAUAAAUAAAUAAAUAAAUAAACAAACAAAAUGUUUGAUUUUUACAUACAGGAAUGAGAAAGGUGACACAGGUGUUAUAGGGUGUUCAGAAUUCAUGGCUUUUCUUCUCCCAUACUAUAACCUUAGUCCUCCCAGGCAAAGACAUUCGCUGAAGUCACAGCUGUUAUAUUUGUACAGCAGGCAACCAAAAGAGAAAGCCAAAUUAUUUUGGUUUCAUUUUCAAGAAAAGUUCUCAGGAGUUUUCUUUAAAUGUUUCUGCAUGUCUUCUGCAUAUGCUUCAAUGACAAGGACUUAAUCAUAUAGUCACACAUAACUAGUAUGCAGUUAAAUCACUGCAAUGUUGAGGUAAAUAUUAGCAUACCAGCUAUGUACUUAAGGGAUGAAUAUAAAUUUCUUGUGCAUGUUUGAUAUACAUACAUACAUACUUAUAUAUAUUAAGAUAGUCACAAAUCUAUAUUUGAAAAUGUAUGUAUAUACCCAAUGUAUAAAGUGUAUCAGCUAGAUAAUGAAGUGGGUAGCAAUUUCUGCCACAUGAUUCUGUCUGCAGUGAAGACUUGAAGAUGUCUAAGCGUGAAGGAGACACUAGAUGACACUGUCCAGACUCUGUUGGAACUCCAUCUCCUUACAUCAGUGGUCUUGAAGGUUGUAUUAGUUGGCUUUAACAAUUGCUCAUCAUCCCACACCAGUUACACAAUUCCAAAGCACACACUAAGAAAGCAGUCUCCACUGUGGACUGUGAAGUCUAGAUAUGCUAAGAGGUCCAAUGAUUGGAGAAUUGAGACGGCACUUUUGGAAAGCAUUUGAACUAUAAUCACAGUUUCAGCAUGACUGACACAAGGUGGAUCUUCUGUUACCAACUUACUAUCAUUCCACAAGGUCAUAGCUGGGUCUAACUCUUACCAACAGGUUUGCUUGAAGAUUGCUCAAGGUCACUCCUCCUCGAUUCUUCUGUUUCAGGACAGGAAUCACCAUUUAGCAUUAGAUAUCAUCCUCCAGAUGGUGAUGUGAGGGACUCUGGCGAACUGCCUUUCAAAGAAUAGGAACCCUCAAUGAGAAUAAUCAUCAGGAUAUUGAGCUUAUUUUUCACUUUCUAUAUGAAAUAAUUGGAAUUAUAUGUCUAUGUGGGUAGCUUGUUCGGUUUCCCAAUUUCUCCUGUUAGAUGACAACAGUGAAAUAAAAUUAUUCCAGCCUGCUCAUCUACGGUAGCAGUGAGAAUGGCUAUCCCACAGCACUGCAAUCUAAAUAGGAGACCUGAGCUCAAGAAGAAAAGGAAAGAAAGUGUUCCCUGGGUGAGAAAUUGGAUGUCUGUUAGAAGUCUGCAGCGCUUACAGGAACAAACAUGCUGAUAUAUUGCAGGUGGCUCUGGCCGGACUGCAGAGUCAGCAAUGUCACAGCAGCAGGUCAGCCAUUGACAGGGGCCCUGCCACGACUGGCACAAAGCCAGAUUAGAGCCAGAUCCCAGCUUGCACUUGCUUUAUUUCUCCACUAACUAGCCUGUACGUCCGCAGUGUCUCACGAGACAUUUGAUAAAAUAUUGCUAUGUUCCUUUUAGGAAAUCAUCCACCUUUCAGGUCCUUUCCUAGGCAGUUUCUAUGGUCAGUAAUAGAAGCAGCUAUGGCUAAAUACUGAGUAUUUGCUGUGUGCUAGAUACACUGCUGAAUGUAUGCUCAUUUUAUCUCGCAUAAUGGCUAUUGCUCAAACACUAUCCAGUUCUGCCUACUUUCCUUCUAAUAGAAUCUUGAGGGAAGAAAGUCUAAGUGAAGAAUAUUGCCUUUCAUAGCUUAUAUCUGUUUAUUCAAGAAGAACAAAAAUCAAUAUCAGUGUAAUCAACCACACCAUAGCAAGAGAGCAAUUUUAAAAAGAGAUAUUUCUAAAAUAUCAGAAUUUCAUAAUACAUUCUGGUUUAUUUUUGGAUGAUACACUAUUCAGGAUACUACCAGGAUAUUUUUAUAGGCUUAAGUAAAUCUUAUAAAUCCUUGAACUUCAGUUUAUAAUACAGAAAUAACUCUUUAAUCUUAAAGCCCUGACCAGCUGAGAUGUUUUUCUUGUAACAAUCUUCUCUUCAAAGGCUAUUCUUGCUCAAUGAGAAAAUCCACAACCCCUGAGUGUUUAUGUAUCAAGGUUUCUUGUCAAAGAAUACUUAAAAGGUAUUGAAAAGAUUGGUAAUUUCAAUGGAAAGCAUAAUCAUUUCAUAGACGGUGUUAAAAAAAUAUAUAAUAGCAAAAGCACAAUAUGAUUCAUGCCUGAAUGCAUACAUUUUGAGCCUGUUUGUUAAACGUUUGC